CCUUGUCCCCUUGUGAUAAAGGGCCGUGUUGCAGACACAAUUUGUUUGUCUGUACUGGAGACCAGAGGGGAAGCUGUCUUUGAAAGGAUGGGGCUCUUAUACCAUAUGUGAAGUUACCUAUUCAGGUGCUUUUUGGGCACCAGUUUGGAGAUGGAAGACAGACGAAGUCAAAGAAGCAGAGAAGACACAUCUACCAGCAAGUGUGUAAAAUUAUCAGGAAAAUGAUUGACCUUGAAUAGACGACUGCCUAAUUUAGCAAGAAGUUUUGUCUCUCUCUCAUGUGUGUAUGUAUAUAUGUGUAUAUGUGUGUAUAUAUAUAUAUAUAUAUAUAUAUAUAUAUAUAUAUAUAUAUAUAUAUAUAUAUAAUGAGAGAGAGAGAGAGAGUGCGCACUCUGAAGCACUGCUUUUUAUAUGUAUGCUACAUAUGAUGUCAGAUUUUUUUAUGAAUAUGUUCUUAUAGUAUUUUUUGAGGCUUCACCUUCACCUUUUGAAAGUUUUCUGAAAUGUUUACACAGAUGUCAUUAAACUGUUAAAUAAAUCUGUAAAAUGUA
ensembl:processed_transcript